rnacentral:rRNA from 1 species
GACGAACGCUGGCGGCGUGCUUAACACAUGCAAGUCGAACGGAAAGGCCCUGCUUGCCGGGUACUCGAGUGGCGAACGGGUGAGUAACACGUGGGUGAUCUGCCCUGCACUUCGGGAUAAGCCUGGUAAACUGGGUCUAAUACCGGAUAGGAGCCAUUUUUAUUGUGAUGGUUGGAAAGUUUUUUCGGUGUGGGAUGGGGUGGGGGCCUAUCUGCUUGUUGGUUGGGUAAUGGCCUACCAAGGCGGCUACGGGUAGCCGGCCUGAGAGGGUGGACGGCCACAUAGGGACUGAGAUACGGCCCAGACUCGUACGGGAGGCAGAAGGGGGGAAUAUUGAACAAUGGGAGCAAGCCUGAUGCAGAGACGCCGCGUGGGGGAAGACGGCCUUCGGGUUGUAAAAACAAUUCGCUAGGGACGAAGCUUUUUGUGACGGUACCUAGAUAAGAAGCACCGGCUAACUACGUG